rnacentral:rRNA from 1 species
CCCCUAGAUGUUCUGGGCCGCACGCGCGCUACACUGAACAGUUCAACAAGUCUUAACCUUGGCCGAUAGGUCUGGGUAAUCUUUGAACGCUGUUCGUGACUGGGAUAGACCUUUGCAAUUAUGGGUCUUCAACGAGGAAUUCCUAGUAAACGCAAGUCAUCAGCUUGCAUUGAUUACGUCCCUGCCCUUUGUACACACCGCCCGUCGCACCUACCGUUUGAAUGGUCCGGUGAAAUCUCGGGACGGCGGCUUGGUCGCUUGCGUCCGACUGCUGAAACUUGAUUAAACCAUAUCAUUUAGAGGAAGGUGAAGUCGUAACA